rnacentral:rRNA from 1 species
CCCUUAGAUGUUCUGGGCCGCACGCGCGCUACACUGAUUCAUGCAACAAGUUUUGUCCUUGGCUGAUAGGCCUGGGUAAUCUUUGAACGCUGUUCGUGAUUGGGAUAGACCUUUGCAAUUAUGGGUCUUCAACGAGGAAUUCCUAGUAAACGCAAGUCAUCAGCUUGCAUUGAUUACGUCCCUGCCCUUUGUACACACCGCCCGUCGCACCUACCGAUUGAAUGGUCCGGUGAAAUCUCGGGACGGCGGCUUGGUCGCUUGCGUCCGACUGCUGAAACUUGAUUAAACCAUAUCAUUUAGAGGAAGGUGAAGUCGUAACA